GUUUAAACUUUUUUUAGAA
rnacentral:tRNA from 1 species